AACCAGUAUUAAAGGCACUGCCUGCCCGGUGACUAAUAGUUAAACGGCCGCGGUAUCCUGACCGUGCAAAGGUAGCAUAAUCACUUGUUCUCUAAUUAGGGACUUGCAUGAAUGGCCACACGAGGGUUUAACUGUCUCUUACUUUUAAUCAGUGAAAUUGACCUCCCCGUGAAGAGGCGGGGAUAACAAAACAAGACGAGAAGACCCUAUGGAGCUUCAAUUAAUCAACCCAAUAAAUCAAAACCUUAAACCACCAAGGGACAACAAAAUUUUAUAUGGGCUGACAAUUUCGGUUGGGGUGACCUCGGAGCACAAAAAACCCUCCGAGUGAUUUAAAACCUAGGCUCACUAGCCGAAGUAUAAUAUCACUUAUUGAUCCAAUCUAUUGAUCAACGGAACAAGUUACCCUAGGGAUAACAGCGCAAUCCUAUUCUAGAGUUCAUAUCGACAAUAGGGUUUACGACCUCGAUGUUGGAUCAGGACAUCCUAAUGGUGCAGCCGCUAUUAAGGGUUCGUUUGUU
rnacentral:rRNA from 1 species